CUUCUCUCUUCUUUCUUCUCAAACCCUAAAAAUGUCUGAACAAAAAAAGCCACAGGCUCCUAUCCCCGCCGUCGCACACCCAUAUCGUCGCCUCUUUCUCAUACCACCACUGAUUUCGAUUCAUCAACAAACCCUAACAUUACCGUCACCCUCCUUUCUCCACCAUAGAUUUACCCCUUUCUUCUGCAAAUUUCUCUAAGUGCAUCACAUCCAUUUACUACCCAUUAUUUUCAUUCCUGAACAUUAGAGAUCUACAAAUCUCAAAGAAGAAUAAACGGAAGUUGUGAGAUGGUGAAGUUGCAACAAUGACAGAUCCGUUUAGUCGAUUCUCGCAGUAGUGGAAAACAAAAAGGAUUUACAUUAGAGAGGAGAAAUAAUGGAACAGGCAGAGGGAAUAUUUCAUCAUCAUUGAAGGAUGCCUUUCCUUUAUUGUAACUCAAACCAUCGGUGCUUGGUGCUUCUUGACGCUGCACGACUACCUCCACCGCAAAUCAUCUCCUUUCCCUUUUGAAUCGAUCUACUAUUGGUAAUAAUGAAUAUAAAGAGAAAGGAAGAGAUAUGUUAGAGACAUGGACAUGAGUUUUCUUAUUUUAAGUUACUAAAAGUGUUUGGCUCAUGCUCAUGGAAGAUUAUAUUAUGGAUGCCAUGACAGUAGUGUUCAGGAGAUACAUUUGGCCACUGGAACUAUCAGUAAUAUACAAAGUGGUUCUAAAAGAUUAAUUGGGAAAUCUAAUCCUAUUCAUAAAGCCUGUUUUACAAGAAAUCAAGUUAAUGACAAAUGCAUUAAGAAUAUUUGAAGAGCUGCAAAUACUGGUUGGGGUGAGAAGGACAAUUCAAAAUGGGAUAAAAUCUAAAACCCUUAUAAGAAGUAUAUUGAUUGAAAUAUCCAUGGUCCUGUUGCUAAGAUCCCUGGAAACCUCUAUCUUUUUAUCUAUGAA